UACAGAGGUCUCGAGCGUUGUUCGGAUUCAUUGGGCGUAAAGGGUGCGUAGGUGGCGCUGUAAGUCGGGUGUGAAAUCCUGAGGCUUAACCUCGGAACUGCAUUCGAUACUGCGGUGCUUGAGGACUGGAGAGGAGACUGGAAUUCAUGGUGUAGCAGUGAAAUGCGUGAGAGAUCAUGAGGAAGACCAGUGGCGAAGGCGGGUCUCUGGACAGUUCCUGACACUGAGGCACGAAGGCCAGGGGAGCAAACGGG
rnacentral:rRNA from 1 species